GACGAACGCUGGCGGCGUGCUUAACACAUGCAAGUCGAACGGAAAGGCCCUGCUUUUGUGGGGUGCUCGAGUGGCGAACGGGUGAGUAACACGUGAGUAGCCUGCCCUUGACUUUGGGAUAACUUCAGGAAACUGGGGCUAAUACCGGAUAGGAGCUCCUGCUGCAUGGUGGGGGUUGGAAAGUUUCGGCGGUUGGGGAUGGACUCGCGGCUUAUCAGCUUGUUGGUGGGGUAGUGGCUUACCAAGGCUUUGACGGGUAGCCGGCCUGAGAGGGUGACCGGCCACAUUGGGACUGAGAUACGGCCCAGACUCCUACGGGAGGCAGCAGUGGGGAAUAUUGCACAAUGGGCGGAAGCCUGAUGCAGCAACGCCGCGUGCGGGAUGACGGCCUUCGGGUUGUAAACCGCUUUCGCCUGUGACGAAGCGUGAGUGACGGUAAUGGGUAAAGAAGCACCGGCUAACUACGUGCCAGCAGCCGCGGUGAUACGUAGGGUGCGAGCGUUGUCCGGAUUUAUUGGGCGUAAAGGGCUCGUAGGUGGUUGAUCGCGUCGGAAGUGUAAUCUUGGGGCUUAACCCUGAGCGUGCUUUCGAUACGGGUUGACUUGAGGAAGGUAGGGGAGAAUGGAAUUCCUGGUGGAGCGGUGGAAUGCGCAGAUAUCAGGAGGAACACCAGUGGCGAAGGCGGUUCUCUGGGCCUUUCCUGACGCUGAGGAGCGAAAGCGUGGGGAGCGAACAGGCUUAGAUACCCUGGUAGUCCACGCUGUAAACGGUGGGUACUAGGUGUGGGGUCCAUUCCACGGGUUCCGUGCCGUAGCUAACGCUUUAAGUACCCCGCCUGGGGAGUACGGCCGCAAGGCUAAAACUCAAAGGAAUUGACGGGGCCCCGCACAAGCGGCGGAGCAUGCGGAUUAAUUCGAUGCAACGCGUAGAACCUUACCUGGGUUUGACAUGGAUCGGGAGUGCUCAGAGAUGGGUGUGCCUCUUUUGGGGUCGGUUCACAGGUGGUGCAUGGCUGCCGUCAGCUCGUGUCGUGAGAUGUUGGGUUAAGUCCCGCAACGAGCGCAACCCUUGUUCACUGUUGCCAGCACGUUAUGGUGGGGACUCAGUGGAGACCGCCGGGGUCAACUCGGAGGAAGGUGGGGAUGACGUCAAGUCAUCACGCCCCUUAUGUCCAGGGCUUCACGCAUGCUACAAUGGCUGGUACAGAGAGUGGCGAGCCUGUGAGGGUGAGCGAAUCUCGGAAAGCCGGUCUCAGUUCGGAUUGGGGUCUGCAACUCGACCUCAUGAAGUCGGAGUCGCUAGUAAUCGCAGAUCAGCAACGCUGCGGUGAAUACGUUCCCGGGGCU
rnacentral:rRNA from 1 species